rnacentral:rRNA from 1 species
CCUACGGGUGGCAGCAGUGCGGAAUAUUGGUCAAUGGGAGGAAUCCUGAACCAGCCAUGCCGCGUGCAGGAUGACUGCCCUACGAGUUGUAAACUUCUUUUGUACCGGAAUAAAAUGAGUCACGUGUGCGUUUUUGUAUGUACUUUACGAAUAAGGAUCGGCUAACUCCGUGCCAGCAGCCGCGGUAAUACGGAGGAUCCGAGCGUUAUCCGGAUUUAUUGGGUUUAAAGGGAGCGCAGGUGGUCUGUUAAGUCAGAUGUGAAAGUUUGCGGCUUAACCGGAAAAGUGCAAUUGAAACUGGGAGACGUGAGUACAGAUGAGGUAGGCGGAACUCGAUGUGUAGCGGUGAAAUGCGUAGAUAUCAGGAAGAACACCAGUUGCGAAGGCAGCUCACUAAUCUGUCACUGACACUGAGGUUCGAAAGCGUGGGUAGCAAACAGGAUUAGAUACCCCAGUAGUC